rnacentral:rRNA from 1 species
AUUGAACGCUGGCGGCAGGCCUAACACAUGCAAGUCGAACGAGUGGCGGACGGGUGAGUAAUGUCUGGGAAACUGCCUGAUCGAGGGGGAUGAAUACUGGAAACUGUAGAUAAUACCGCAUACCAUCCGAUGGGCCCAGAUGGGAUUAGCUAGGAGGUGGGGUAACGGCUAACCGAGGCGACGAUCCCUAGCUGGUCUGAGAGGAUGACCAGCAACAAUGGAACUGAGACACGGUCCAGACUCCUACGGGAGGCAGCAGUGGGGAAUAUUGCACAAUGGGCGAAAGCCUGAUGCAGCAAUGCCGCGUGUAUGAAGAAGGCCUUCGGGUUGUAAAGUACUUUCAGCGAGGAGGCGUUACCCGCAGAAGAAGCACCGGCUAACUCCGUGCCAGCAGCCGCGGUAAUAC